rnacentral:rRNA from 1 species
AGUGAACGUUGGCGGCGUGGAUUAGGCAUGCAAGUCGAGCGAGAACCGUAGCAAUACGGGGACAGCGGCGAAAGGGACAGUAAUGUGUAGGUACCUACCUCCGGGUUCGGGAUAGCUGCGGGAAACUGCAGGUAAUACCGAAUAACGUCUCCGGACCAAAGGUGUGAUUCCACCUGGAGAGGGGCCUGCAUCCUAUUAGCUUGUUGGCGGGGUAACGGCCCACCAAGGCGACGAUGGGUAGCGGGUGUGAGAGCACGACCCGCGUCAUUGGGACUGAGACACUGCCCAGACACCUACGGGUGGCUGCAGUCGUGAAUCUUCGGCAAUGGGCGCAAGCCUGACCGAGCGACGCCGCGUGCGGGAUGAAGGCCUUCGGGUUGUAAACCGCUGUCGUAGAGGAGGAAAUGCAGGGGGGUUCUCCCCUCUGUUUGACCUAUUCUAGGAGGAAGUACGGGCUAAGUUCGUGCCAGCCGCCGCGGUAAGAC